CGGUUGUAGCUAAAUAAAUAUAGAGAAGUUGAUUAGCCAAUUGUCGCGAGAUUUUGUGAUAUUCGUCGACGAAUCCGCCUCCCGAGCUUCUUACAUUU